rnacentral:lncRNA from 1 species
GACAUUUACUCUGUCCCCUUUGUAAAAUCAUUUCCCUCCCCGUCUCCUCUGUUGCUUCCUUUGAUUCAAUCGUCACCUUUUUUUUCAUUUCUUCCUCUGUCAUUUCUCCAAUUGAGGAAGAAGAACAAGUCAAAUAAACGAACCUCCCAACACAACUUGCCGCCUUUCAUAUCCUCCUUCCUUCUGUUUAACCUGAAGAAAAGAGCCAUCUUUUUCUGCUCUUUUCACCAAACCAACAACAAUGGAUUCGAAUUUCUGGACGUCGAGGAUCGCCGCCGCGAAGCGGCAGUACAC